AUUCAAGCUUCCAUUACGAUUAGCGCUAUCCAGCCGAAGUAUUCUAGAAAAGAUUCGAGUACACGUGCACGGAUAGUGCUCAUUGUUUUUGGAGAGCAGGAAA
rnacentral:pre_miRNA from 16 species